AAAUUGAAGAGUUUGAUCAUGGCUCAGAUUGAACGCUGGCGGCAGGCCUAACACAUGCAAGUCGAGCGGAAACGACACUAACAAUCCUUCGGGUGCGUUAAUGGGCGUCGAGCGGCGGACGGGUGAGUAAUGCCUAGGAAAUUGCCUUGAUGUGGGGGAUAACCAUUGGAAACGAUGGCUAAUACCGCAUGAUGCCUACGGGCCAAAGAGGGGGACCUUCGGCCAAAGAGGGGGACCUUCGG
rnacentral:rRNA from 1 species